GACGAACGCUGGCGGCGUGCUUAACACAUGCAAGUCGAACGGAAAGGCCCUGCUUUUGUGGGGUGCUCGAGUGGCGAACGGGUGAGUAACACGUGAGUAACCUGCCCUUGACUUUGGGAUAACUUCAGGAAACUGGGGCUAAUACCGGAUAGGAGCUCCUGCUGCAUGGUGGGGGUUGGAAAGUUUCGGCGGUUGGGGAUGGACUCGCGGCUUAUCAGCUUGUUGGUGGGGUAGUGGCUUACCAAGGCUUUGACGGGUAGCCGGCCUGAGAGGGUGACCGGCAACAUUGGGACUGAGAUACGGCCCAGACUGCUACGGGAGGCAGCAGUGGGGAAUAUUGCACCAUGGGCGGAAGCCUGAUGCAGCAACGCCGCGUGCGGGAUGACGGCCUUCGGGUUGUAAACCGCUUUCGCCUGUGACGAAGCGUGAGUGACGGUAAUGGGUAAAGAAGCACCGGCUAACUACGUG
rnacentral:rRNA from 1 species